rnacentral:rRNA from 1 species
UACGUAGGGUGCGAGCGUUGUCCGGAAUUAUUGGGCGUAAAGAGCUUGUAGGCGGUUUGUCGCGUCUGCCGUGAAAGCCCAGGGCUUAACCCUGGGUCUGCGGUGGGUACGGGCAGACUAGAGUGCGGUAGGGGUGACUGGAAUUCCUGGUGUAGCGGUGGAAUGCGCAGAUAUCAGGAGGAACACCGAUGGCGAAGGCAGGUCACUGGGCCGCAACUGACGCUGAGGAGCGAAAGCGUGGGGAGCAAACAGG